AUGGUGUCGUCCCCGUCCCCUUCCCCUCCUACCUUCACUUCUGCGGUGUCCGAGACCAAGCGGCAUGCUGGUGUCCCGACGACGGCCUCGGAGAAGCUGGACCAGAAGUACGCCCACUCCGCGACGCCGCUCCACGGCCACGGCCACGGCGGCGGUGCCAAGAAGACGCCGCGGCGGGGGAGGAGCGAAGGCGGCGCCGCCGACUCGGCCGCGUAUGUCGCGGCGGUGUCCUGCUCCGACUGCCGCUUCAAGCAGCGCGCCCUGGCGCCGGCGUCGCCCGGAGCCGUCAUCCGCUCGCUGUUCGUCUCCCUCACCCGACGCUCCACCCCGCGCUCCUCGCCGUCUCCGACAUCGGCCUCGGAGGGCGACGCGGGUGAGGGCGAGCAGUGGCGCCUGGCCGCGGCCGACCUCUCGCGGCGGCUCGCCGCGGCCACGCGGACGCGGGACGACGCGGUGGAGGAGACCUCGCGGCUGAAGCAGUCCCUCGCCGAGCUGGAGCUCAAGCUCGCGCGCCUCGAGGCCCGCGUGCUCCCCACGCCGGCCGCCGCCGUCUUCCCCGUCGAGUCCUUCCUCCGCGCCGUCUCCACGGCGCGCGCCACCGUGCGGAACCUCACGCGCGCGCUCUCCACCCACCUGCGCAGCCCCGCGAGCCCCGGCCCGAACCUCGAGAGCUUCCUGAACCGCGCCUUCCACGCGGACUUCGAGCUGGACACCGAGGGCGACGUCCACACCGCGGACCCGGCGGGCCGGUGCGAGGCCAACCUCGCGGCGUACCACGCCGUGGCGGCGCUGACCUGGGAGGAGGUGCUCAUCCACGGGACGAAGCACUACAGCGACGGGCUGAGCCGGUUCUGCGACGCCAAGAUGAGCGAGGUGGUGUCCUCCCUCGGGUGGGCGCGCGCCCGCCCGUGGCCGGAGCCGCUGCUGCAGGCCUUCUUCCUGGCGGCCAAGGGCGUGUGGGGGGUGCGCCUCCUGGCGCGGUCCGUGCACCCGCCGCUGCCCGUCGUGCGCGUGGACCGCGGCGCGCGCUUCGACUCGCGGUUCAUGGAGGACGCCGCGGCCUCGCGCGCCGGGCGGCUGGAGCCGGCCAGCGUGAAGAUGAUGGUGGCGCCGGGGUUCCACGUGUACGUCGCCGGCGCCGGCGUGGUCAAGUGCAAGGUCGUGUGCUUCUACAACAACAGCCGCACCGGCGGCCACAUAGGUGGCGGGAGCAGCGCCAACGGCGGCGAGGGGUUGGGGAGUAGCUGUAGCGAUAUGAAUGGUGGCGGUACGGAUGCGGUGAAGAGCUGUCAGAGUAGCAGGGUAUAG
rnacentral:rRNA from 1 species